rnacentral:rRNA from 1 species
UACGUAGGGGGCAAGCGUUGUCCGGAUUUAUUGGGCGUAAAGCGCGUGUAGGCGGCUAGAUAGGUCUGCUGUGAAAACUCGAGGCUCAACCUCGAGAUGGUCGGCGGAAACCGUCUGGCUAGAGUCCGGAAGAGGAGAGUGGAAUUCCUGGUGUAGCGGUGAAAUGCGCAGAUAUCAGGAAGAACACCUAUGGCGAAGGCAGCUCUCUGGGACGGUACUGACGCUGAGACGCGAAAGCGUGGGGAGCGAACAGG